UGCGCGUGAGCGCUGGGCGGACGGGGAAAGGAGCUCAGGCUCCUGGCAUCAAAGAUCCUAUAGCAGAGGCCAUCUGACCAGCAAUGUCUAUGAGCCAUCUGACCAGCAAUGUCUCACCAGCAAUGUCUAUGGGACUGGUGCUGCACUGAGAGAUUACUUCACUUCUUCAGAGCGGCCGUCGGAACGAUUCUUCAGCAAAAACUUGCACUUCAACAAAAUAUAAUCCAGGACCAGGUCGGAGAAAACCGCGUUUUAACGCCGUCCCCCCCUCAAACACGCCAAAAUCGCGCAAACGGCCAGUGGCAGAAUUGCAGCGCCGCUGAAGACUUGAAAAGGCACACCAUCCCUGGAUAUGACAGGGUAUAUGGAAGAGUUACAACAUAGGUAUAUUUACAGGUCUUUAUCAAAUGAUUUUACUCUUUUUUUGUUCUAUCCAAAUUAAUAACUUGUCCUUAAUAUUUUUCUCAGUAUUUUUGACAUAGUUGUCCAACUUUGUGCUAUAAAUUUGAAGGGCAAGGUAAAAGCCACAUUAUGUUAUAGGUCAAAAGUCACAAAAAGCACUCCAGAUUAAAUUGCUGGUUUUAUCAAGAGGGAAAAUGGAUACAUUUAUUAGGGAUCAUGGAAGAUGUAACUGGCAGGAAAGAUUAAAAGAGGUGGUCAAUGGAUGUUGUGUGUUUUGAUGAACAGACAACAUAUAUUGGUUGACAAACUGUAAAUAGUGAAGGAUCAGAGAUGAAUCUCUGGAACUCUCUGCCACAGAGGGGAGUUGAGGCCAGUUCAUUGGCUAUAUUUAAGAGGGAGUUAGAUGUGGCCCUUGUGGCUAAGGG